rnacentral:rRNA from 1 species
GGCCUCGCAAGAGAGCCUGGAGACAGGUGCUGCAUGGCUGUCGUCAGCUCGUGUCGUGAGAUGUUGGUUAAGUCCCGCAACGAGCGCAACCCUUGUCUUUAGUUGCCAUCAUUCAGUUGGGCACUCUAAAGAGACUGCCGGUGUCAAACCCGGAGGAAGUGGGGAUGACGUCAAGUCCUCAUGGCCUUUAUGACCAGGGCUACACACGUACUACAAUGGCCGGUACAAAGGGCAGCCACUUAGCGAUAAGGAACCAAUCCCGUAAAGCCGGUCUCAGUCCGGAUUGGAGUCUGCAACUCGACUCCAUGAAGUUGGAAUCGCUAGUAAUCGCAGAUCAGCACGCUGCGGUGAAUACGUUCCCGGGCCUU